GAUGAAGAACGUAGCGAAAUGCGAUAAGUAAUGUGAAUUGCAGAAUUCAGUGAUUCAUCGAAUCUUUGAACGCACAUUGCGCCCGCCAGUAUUCUGGCGGGCAUGCCUGUUCGAGCGUCAUUUCAACCCUCAGGCCCCCAGUGCCUGGUGUUGGGGAUCGGCCCAGCCUUCCUGUAAGGCCGCCGGCCCCGAAAUCUAGUGGCGGUCUCGCUGUAGUCCUCCUCUGCGUAGUAGCACAACCUCGCAGUUGGAACGCGGCGGUGGCCAUGCCGUUAAACACCCCACUUCUGAAAGUUGACCUCGGAUCAGGUAGGAAUACCCGCUGAACUUAAGCAUAUCAAUAAGCGGAGGA
rnacentral:misc_RNA from 1 species